rnacentral:rRNA from 1 species
ACAAUGGGCGCAAGCCUGAUGCAGCGACGCCGCGUGCGGGAUGGAGGCCUUCGGGUUGUAAACCGCUUUUGUUCAAGGGCAAGGCACGGUUUCGGCCGUGUUGAGUGGAUUGUUCGAAUAAGCACCGGCUAACUACGUGCCAGCAGCCGCGGUAAUACGUAGGGUGCGAGCGUUAUCCGGAUUUAUUGGGCGUAAAGGGCUCGUAGGCGGUUCGUCGCGUCCGGUGUGAAAGUCCAUCGCCUAACGGUGGAUCUGCGCCGGGUACGGGCGGGCUGGAGUGCGGUAGGGGAGACUGGAAUUCCCGGUGUAACGGUGGAAUGUGUAGAUAUCGGGAAGAACACCAAUGGCGAAGGCAGGUCUCUGGGCCGUCACUGACGCUGAGGAGCGAAAGCGUG